rnacentral:misc_RNA from 1 species
AAAAAUACAUCAUUUUAAUUAUAUGAAUAUAAUAUGCUUACAAGACUUUUUCAAGUUUAUACACCACCAGAUUGGAACAAGAAGAAUUGCUUACCUCCUCUCUGUAUGAACCUCCUUCAACUUUUACAUUAAGUGUACCAAAUUGUGAGAUCAUUGAUGAGAUAAUGCACCUGAAACAGACCAAGUCUCACCACCACCAAGUGCGUAACCAAUUUAGAACUGCUCAAUCACCACUGAUGAUUAUUAACUCAUUUUUUGGAACUCUCCAAUAGCCCAUACCUAAUGUUAAACAAUUGAUGUCCAUGGGUCUAAUGCACCGAAGCUGCCAAUAUACCCAGUCCCAUCAUUCACCCUUUCCAGCAGUGAUCUAUACAUAUUUAAAAAUAGUAAAGACAUUAAUUCACAGAUAGCUUAACCAGAUAUGGUUUUUUCUUAGCAACUUUCUGAUGCAUGGCUGCACAAUUCAGAGACAACUUUGAUUAACCACCCCAUCAUCUCGUUGAAUGAGCUCUAAUAAGCUUCCAGCUUUUCUCUUGGCCCUAUCAGUGCCAUUGUCUGACAGUUCCUUUAGUGCUUCUUCUGCACCACACUUCUUUGCUAACUUCAACUGCUGUGAAUCACCAGCACAUAGUGACCACAGGACAGCUGCAGCAUUCUCACGGUUGCGUGGAGAACUGGUCCUAAUGACCUCCAUCAGAACAGGAAUUGGCUCAGCCUGUCCAAUUGCUACCUUCCCUUCUUGAUGGCUUGCAAGAAUAGCAAGAAUUGCCAAUGCCUCAUCAACCAUUCCACCUCCAGCAUCCUUGAGCAACUGCAUCAGAGGUGGCACAAUACCAGCCCUUACAGCUCUUGCCUUGUUUCCCUGAUAAAUUGAAAGAUUAAAAAUGGCAGUGGCAGCAUCCUUCUUUCCUCUUGGAGUCCCCUCGCGGAGCAAAUCUAUAAGUGCUGGGAUGGCCCCAGCUGCUCCUAUUGACACCUUAUUCUCAUCAAUAACGGAUAAACUGAAAAGGGUUGCAGCUGCAUUUUCCCUUGCCUCCAUGCUUCCAUUUCUUAACACGUCUACUAUAUCAGGUAUAGCUCCCACUUUAACAAUGGUUCCCUUGUUACUAUCAUUUAUGGAAAGGUUUAAAAGCGCUGUAACAGCAUGCUCUUGUGUACGAGGAUCUGUGGAGCAUAAAAGCUCUACAAGAAGUGGAAUGGCUCCUGCUUCUGCAAUGCAUACUCUGUUAUCCGCAUUCCUCUUCGCCAGUAAACGAAGCUCUCCAGCAGCUGCUCUUUGUUGUUCUAGAUUCCCAUUUGCCAAUUUCUCUAACAAGGCAACAAUAGCAAUUCGAUCACAGUCAGAAACACUGCUUCCAACUUUUUUGUUUCUACAAGACCCUUGGUGUUUCGGCAGCUCAACACCAUUUUUUUCACACCACAAAGCAAUCAAACUCUUCAAAACAUAGUUAGGUGUUAGUGCAGUAUGCGACAGAGUCUGUUGUGUUUUUGGGCAAGUCUUGUGUCCUGCAUCCAGCCAUUUUUGGAUGCAUAAUCUUUCAUAGGUCUGCCCAGUAGAGACUAUCACUGGAUCUUUCAUCAGUUCUAGAGAUAUUGGGCAGCGGAAAUCAUCUGGAAUAACGGGAGACCGGUGCUUAAUUAAACCAUUUUCGGACUCAGAAUUAUCAGCUUGAGGGUUUUCCAUUUGAACAUAAUCUUUUAAUUUCUUGAGGAUGGCUGACACCUUCUGCAACCAGUCUCCUCGAUCGCCAUCACUUGAGAUAACCAACUCAUGGAAAGCAAGAGACUCUUUCUUUAAAUCACUGAUAGUCUUGAGUUCCAGCUUUUCAGAAAGCCUCUUCAAUACUGCAGGAUCAGGGUCUUUUUCUCUCUGUGCUAAGGCUAAAUCAAGGUCUAGUUGUGAAUCAGGGGAGUCUGGUCUUUCUUUAGCCCUUCUGAGUUGAGCAUGCACAAGUUCAAUCUGUUCUUGAACUUCCUCUGAUAAAUCAAGUUUAUCAUAAGGAAUCUCACUUAAUGCUGCUUCAAUUUGUUCCGUAAUUUGGCAAAACUUAUGUGCUAAUUUGUCCCUUUGCAUGGCCUGAUACAACUUGCUUCCCUCAUUGGCCGAUUUGAGAAGUCCCAUGGCCGAAUCUAAAGCAAUUCUCAAUAACUCAAAGCCAUUAAUUGCUUCUUCGCCUAGCUCUUCAUUGCUAUCUCUUAGCUCCUCAAACAAAGGGCUCAAGAGCUUGAUUCUACGAAUCAAAUUCCCAUGCAUCUUCCUGCAUAUAUUUUUACAUUCAGGUAACCCACAAAUCUCCUUCACUGAGUCAAUGAGUCGACCCAUCAUCUUGGAUUUUGGAUCCUCCUCCUUUAGAGCCAUGUGGAUAAGCCUAAUUCAGCUAUAAACAGAGCCCCCAAAAAAUAUUUACUAAAUAAUACAAAACUCUAAAAAAUUCAGCUAGUAUCCCUUCCUAGACUUUUUUCCCCCUCUUUAUUACACUUUCUUUUCAUCCAAGCACUCGCAAUCCACCGCGACCUCCAUCUUACUCAUUUGGGUUUUUCUUAUUUCUCUACUAUAUUCAAUCUACAACAACAAUAAAACAAAAAACUCAAUUUUUUUCCAUGGUUUCACCGCAAUUUCCCAUCAACCAAACACAUGGGUAAAUUACACCACCAUGAAAAGAUUUUAACCCAACCAACAAACGACCAAUAAUUUCCUCACACAGGUUUCAAUUACAAUUCAAAUCACAAAAGAUUAAUGUCAAUCCCGCAACAAUUCA